GACGAACGCUGGCGGCGUGCCUAAUACAUGCAAGUAGAACGCACAGUUUAUACCGUAGCUUGCUACACCAUAGACUGUGAGUUGCGAGCGGGUGAGUAACGCGUAGGUAACCUGCCUGGUAGCGGGGGAUAACUAUUGGAAACGAUAGCUAAUACCGCAUAAUAUUAAUUAUUGCAUGAUAAUUAAUUGAAAGGUGCAAUUGCACCACUACCAGAUGGACCUGCGUUGUAUUAGCUAGUAGGUGAGGUAACGGCUCACCUAGGCGACGAUACAUAGCCGACCUGAGAGGGUGAUCGGCCACACUGGGACUGAGACACGGCCCAGACUCCUACGGGAGGCAGCAGUAGGGAAUCUUCGGCAAUGGACGAAAGUCUGACCGAGCAACGCCGCGUGAGUGAAGAAGGUUUUCGGAUCGUAAAGCUCUGUUGUAAGAGAAGAACGGGUGUGAGAGUGGAAAGUUCACACUGUGACGGUAUCUUACCAGAAAGGGACGGCUAACUACGU
rnacentral:rRNA from 1 species